CCUACGGGUGGCAGCAGUGGGGAAUAUUGGACAAUGGGGGGAACCCUGAUCCAGCCAUGCCGCGUGUGUGAAGAAGGCCCUCGGGUUGUAAAGCACUUUCAGUGAGGAAGAACGCCUGGUGGUUAAUACCCAUCAGGAAAGACAUCACUCACAGAAGAAGCACCGGCUAACUCCGUGCCAGCAGCCGCGGUAAUACGGAGGGUGCGAGCGUUAAUCGGAAUUACUGGGCGUAAAGCGCGCGUAGGUGGCUUGAUAAGCCGGUUGUGAAAGCCCCGGGCUCAACCUGGGAACGGCAUCCGGAACUGUCAAGCUAGAGUGCAGGAGAGGAAGGUAGAAUUCCCGGUGUAGCGGUGAAAUGCGUAGAGAUCGGGAGGAAUACCAGUGGCGAAGGCGGCCUUCUGGACUGAAACUGACACUGAGGUGCGAAAGCGUGGGUAGCAAACAGGAUUAGAUACCCCUGUAGUC
rnacentral:rRNA from 1 species